UAGGUUACGGUUUAGGCACUUAAUGAAAGAUGUUAACAAAUACAUUAUUUUCGUCUUCAAGAGGAGAUAAUACAGCCAUUACAGACACCACCGGAUUAUGAAAAUCACCCUAAUAUCAUCUUCCAGGUCUAAUAUUCAAUUUCAAAUCCAAUUUCAAUACCAAAGCCGUUACAGAUUCUCAUUAGACGCCAUAAUCAUUCAAACCCUAAACCUAAAUUUCUAGGAUUUGCUCCUAAAAAUAUUUUAGACUUUCAAUCACAACCGUUGAACGUUUGUUUAUCAGAUGUAACAGUUGAAUAUUUCAAAUUUCGACAUCAUUUAUCUCAUUCAACCCAGUUAGUGUGCUGUGGAUGACCUGAUCAUUCAAAUCUGAAGGAAACAGCCGUUUCGCAUUUUCUUAGCAAUUUUGGCUAUAAGAUAGUCUCGGGCAUAAACCCACUCUCAGUGACGAAUAAACCUAUCGAAAAAUCUUUUAUCCCGGCACGAUCUGCUCCAUAUUUUUUUGGUUUAGCAAAUCUAGUGUGAACGAACCAUCAAUGCAAGCUAUUGAGUAUGAGUUUCAAUGAAGGAAAUUGACGAAAAAGGUUGGAGAUGGAGUAACGGAUACUGAUAAGGUCAAAUUCUGAGAUAGCUUCCAUCGAUGGUUCGGUCACAUACUUAUUCUAGGGCAGAUUCAUUGGCUAUUGAUGCAGAUAAUGCACAUACGAAUUUGGCACCGGGUAAGUCCCUUAUGGCGCUUCAGGAGCAGUGAGCAAAACUCCCAUAUCAUAUCAAACUAAAUCCUUGAAAGUUAAAAAAAAAAAACAAAUACUAACUACUCAAAUCUAUAACUCAGUUCCUUCUCUUACGGCAGUGCGUUGCUCCUAUUUGGUAAUGAGAGAUGCAUUGAUGUGAGAUUGCAUCUAUCAGAUGUUGCUCGACAGGUGAGCACAUACUCGCAUCUUUUUUUGUUGGUUACUAGCAUAUGACCCGUGUCGUAACAGUCUGGGGUUUGAGCUGAUGUUGUUGGCUCUUAGUGUUACCUUAUUAACUUAUCCAAUGUUUCUAUUAUAAUUCUGGUCAUGUAAACCCAUUGAAUCUCAGCUUUAUAAGACUAUU